rnacentral:rRNA from 1 species
GACGAACCGUGCGAACGUUAUUCGGAAUCACUGGGCUUAAAGCGCGUGUAGGCGGCCCGGCACGUCAUUGGCUGAAAUCCCCCGGCUCAACCGGGGAAGUGGCCGUGAUACGACCGGGCUGGAGGGGGGUAGGGGGUGCGGGAACUCACGGUGGAGCGGUGAAAUGCGUUGAGAUCGUGAGGAACGCCCGCGGCGAAAGCGCGCACCUGGACCCCACCUGACGCUGAGACGCGAAAGCCAGGGGAGCGAACGGG